UACGGAGGAUCCAAGCGUUAUCCGGAUUUAUUGGGUUUAAAGGGUGCGUAGGCGGCCUAUUAAGUCAGUGGUGAAAGCCUGGAGCUUAACUCCAGAACUGCCAUUGAUACUGAUGGGCUUGAGUACAGUUGAGGUGGGCGGAAUGUGUCAUGUAGCGGUGAAAUGCUUAGAUAUGACACAGAACACCGAUGGCGAAGGCAGCUCGCUAAACUGUAACUGACGCUGAGGCACGAAAGCGUGGGUAGCAAACAGG
rnacentral:rRNA from 1 species